rnacentral:misc_RNA from 1 species
AGCUCAAAUAUUUACAACUUCGAAGGGUGGUCAAGUACUGGUUCUGUGUGGUCACCGUUACCAUCGAGAGUAUGAGAGGGUAUUAAAAGGAUUAAAGAAAAAAGUAAAAAAAGUGAUGCCGAGCUAGAGAGAAGAAGAAUAUCAAGAAGGGAACAUUAUAAAAGAAUAAAAGACGAUCCCGAAAAAUAUGCUGCUGAAAAAGCUAAGAAAAAAGAGGCUUAUUUGAGAAGAAAAACUCAGCAAAAAGUAAAAAGUAUCAAACAAAUGUCUCCACGGAAACAAAGGGCGCAAAGAAAGCUUUGGAGAGAAAAUUCGAAACGUUACCUGGAAAAGAAAGCAAAAGAAAGAAAGACGCAAGAAGUGACUAUUGCAAUGCAAGAAGUACCUGAAGCUGACGAAAAAGUAACGGAUCCUGAAAAUGUUUUGGACCCUUUGAUCGUUUAAAAUGAAGAGAAAUAAAAAUAUUAACAAAGUAAUAGAAAAACAUUACAACAAAAGUUUUUAAGGGAAAACAUGCUACUGAAAAAAAAUGAUCCUAUUAAUAAAGGAAUAACAAAACU